UCGGGAAUUUUGGGCAAUGGGCGAAAGCCUGACCCAGCAACGCCGCGUGAGGGAUGAAGUAUUUCGGUAUGUAAACCUCGAAAGAAUGGGAAGAAUAAAUGACGUUACCAUUUAUAAGCUCCGGCUAACUACGUGCCAGCAGCCGCGGUAAUACGUAGGGAGCAAGCGUUGUUCGGAUUUACUGGGCGUAAAGGGCGCGUAGGCGGCGCGGUAAGUCACUUGUGAAAUCUCUGAGCUUAACUCAGAACGGCCAAGUGAUACUGCUGUGCUAGAGUGCGGAAGAGGCAACCGGAAUUCUUGGUGUAGCGGUGAAAUGCGUAGAUAUCAAGAGGAACACCUGAGGCGAAGGCGGGUUGCUGGGCCGACACUGACGCUGAUGCGCGAAAGCCAGGGGAGCAAACG
rnacentral:rRNA from 1 species